CCUACGGGUGGCAGCAGUGAGGAAUAUUGGUCAAUGGGCUCAAGCCUGAACCAGCCAAGUCGCGUGAGGGAAGACGGCCCUAUGGGUUGUAAACCUCUUUUGUCAGGGAGCAACGCCCGCUACUUGUAGCCGGGCUGAGAGUACCUGAAGAAAAAGCAUCGGCUAACUCCGUCCCAGCAGCCGCGGUAAUACGGAGGAUGCGAGCGUUAUCCGGAUUUAUUUGGUUUAAAGGGUGCGUAGGCGGAAUGUCAAGUCAGCGGUAAAAUAGCGGGGCUCAACCUCGCUCCGCCGUUGAAACUGGCGGUCUUGAGUGGGCGAGAAGUAUGCGGAAUGCGUGGUGUAGCGGUGAAAUGCAUAGAGAUCACGCAGAACUCCGAUUGCGAAGGCAGCAUACCGGCGCCCGACUGACGCUGAAGCACGAAAGCGUGGGUAUCGAACAGGAUUAGAUACCCCUGUAGUC
rnacentral:rRNA from 1 species